ensembl:snRNA U1 U1 spliceosomal RNA
AUAUUUACCUGGCAGGGGAGAUACAAUGAUCAUAAAGGCGGCUUUCCCGGGGCGAGGCUUAUCCAUUGCACUCGGGAUGUGCUGACUCCUGCAAUUUCCCCAAAUGUGGGAAACUCGACUGCAUAAUUCGUGUUAGUGGGGGACUGCGUUUGCGCUUUCCCCUG